rnacentral:rRNA from 1 species
UACAGAGGUGGCAAGCGUUGUUCGGAAUUACUGGGCGUAAAGGGCGCGUAGGCGGCCUUCUAAGUCAGACGUGAAAUCCCCAGGCUUAACUUGGGAACUGCGUCUGAUACUGGAAGGCUUGAGUGCGGGAGAGGGAUGUGGAAUUCCAGGUGUAGCGGUGAAAUGCGUAGGUAUCUGGAGGAACACCGGUGGCGAAGGCGGCAUCCUGGACCGACACUGACGCUGAGGCGCGAAAGCCAGGGGAGCAAACGGGAUUAGAUACCCUAGUAGU